rnacentral:rRNA from 1 species
GAUGAACGCUGGCGGCGUGCUUAACACAUGCAAGUCGAACGGACAGGCCCUGCUUUUGUGGGGUGCUCGAUUGGCGAACGGGUGAGUAACACGUGAGUAACCUGCCCUUGUCUUUGGGAUAACUUUUGGGAACUCGGGCUCUUACACGAUAUGAGCUCCUGCUCCAUGUUGGGGGUUGGAAAGUUUCGGCGGUUGGGGAUGGACUCGCGGCUUAUCAGCCUGUUGGUGUGGUAGUGGCUUACCAAGGCUUCGACGGGUAGCCGGCCUGAGAGGGUGACCGGACACAUUGGGACUAAGAUACGGCCCAGAAUGCAACGGGAGGCAGCAGUGGGGAAUAUUGCACAAUGGGCGGAAGCGAGAUACAGCAACGCCGGGAGCGGGAUGACGGGCUACGGGUGGUAAACAGAUUUCGACUGUGACGAAGCGUGAGUGACGGUAAUGGGUAAAGAAGCACCGGCUAACUACGUG